rnacentral:rRNA from 1 species
GGUUAAGCGACUAAGCGUACACGGUGGAUGCCCUGGCAGUCAGAGGCGAUGAAGGACGUGCUAAUCUGCGAUAAGCGUCGGUAAGGUGAUAUGAACCGUUAUAACCGGCGAUUUCCGAAUGGGGAAACCCAGUGUGUUUCGACACACUAUCAUUAACUGAAUCCAUAGGUUAAUGAGGCG